UUUUCUGCACCCUCCUCCCCAUAAACGCUAUAUAUAUGACACCCUGCGCCUCCGUCACUGUAAUGGAGAAACCCUAACCUUGAGAAGGGAUUGUGUGUAUCGGCGUUGUGCCAUGAUGAAUGCACUACGUAUCCGAAAGAGUUCCCUGCAAAACUAACCAGGGGAAGAUGGGCAGUUGUGGUUCAUUUUCCGCCGUUGAUUUCUCAACAAUCAUCUUCCCCACAUUUUAUUUCUCUGUUUUAGCU